rnacentral:rRNA from 1 species
AACGGGUGAGUAACACGUGGGUAACCUGCCCCGAUGAUUGGGACAACCCGAGGAAACUCGGGCUAAUACCAAAUGUGCCCGCCGGCCUCAAGGCCGGUAGGGAAAGGAAGCUUCGGCCUCCGCAUCGGGAUGGGCCCGCGGCCAUUAGUUUGUUGGUGAGGUAAUGGCUCACCAAGGCGACGAUGGGUAGCUGGUCUGAGAGGACGAUCAGCCACACUGGGACUGAGACACGGCCCAGACUCCUACGGGAGGCAGCAGUAGGGAAUCUUGCGCAAUGCGCGGAAGCGUGACGCAGCAACGCCGCGUGGGGGAAGAAGGCCUUCGGGUUGUAAACCCCUUUCAGUUGGGACGAAGCUUCGUCGGUGAAUAGCCGGCCGGAGUGACGGUACCUUCAGAAGAAGCCCCGGCUAACUACGUGCCAGCAGCCGCGG